rnacentral:rRNA from 1 species
UACGAAGGGGGCUAGCGUUGUUCGGAUUUACUGGGCGUAAAGCGCACGUAGGCGGAUCGUUAAGUCGGGGGUGAAAUCCUGGAGCUCAACUCCAGAACUGCCUUCGAUACUGGCGAUCUUGAGUCCAGAAGAGGUGAGUGGAAUUCCGAGUGUAGAAGGUGAAAUUCGUAGAUAUUCGGAGGAACACCAGUGGCGAAGGCGGCUCACUGGUCUGGUACGUGACGCUGAGGUGCGAAAGCGUGGGGAGCAAACAGGGAUUAAGAA